GCGUGGUGGACGGCUCGGUUCCCGCGUCGAUGAAGGACGUAGCGAUGAUACGAAAGGUGUUGCGAAUUGCAAGAUUUCGCGAGUCAAUGACCAUCCGAAUGCAUCGCCGCCCUCCCCUCGCCUUYGGGUGGAGGGAGGACGCGUCGGYG
rnacentral:rRNA from 1 species